rnacentral:lncRNA from 1 species
AUGUCAUCCGAUGAAGGGGAGCACAAUAGUCCAGUUUUACCAAGAGAUUCAGACCGAGGCAGCUCCGUUUCCUCUGUGCUUCAGGACGAGUAUGAAGAACUUCUUCGAUAUGCUGUCGUGACUCCUAAAUAUGAACCGAGUUUCCCAUCACAGCCGUUGAGCUCAACUCAACUCUCCAAGAGUUUACAGCAUACGACUAAAAGAGAAACACCUGCUCAACACACUGCAGAUAAUGAAGUGCACUCAAACAACGGGGCUAUGCCAACUCCGUCAUUAGAAGAAUCCAGACCACAAAGUCGAACAUCCGAGGGUAACUUCAUGAAGCCAUUUAAAUUAGAAUCUCUCAGCCCUCUUGCUUUUGUGAGGCUUUCAAAUUUGUCUUUGACAAUGUCAUGACAAAACGACUGAGAACCACUCUUUGUUUUAUUUCAGAUAAUGAAGUGCACUCAAACAACGGGGCUAUGCCAACUCCGUCAUUAGAAGAAUCCAGACCACAAAGUCGAACAUCCGAGGGUAACUUCAUGAAGCCAUUUAAAUUAGAAUCUCUCAGCCCUCUUGCUUUCAAAUGUGUCUCAUCCAAUCAGAAUCUAGAACUAUGUGUUUUAUAAUAUUG